rnacentral:tRNA from 1 species
GGCGGGAUAGCUCAGUUGGUAGAGCAGUGGAAUCAUAAUCCAUUUGUCGGGGGUUCGAGUCCCUCUCCCGCUA